rnacentral:lncRNA from 1 species
AAACACAAAUAAGCUCUUCAAAAUCCUCCUCAAAUCCAAGUCUGUGCAACCUUAAUUAGCAGCAAUAUAUAAUAGCACUGAUUCAGAGCCUGUUGUGAUUUUGUCCACACCAGUGAAAAGAGCACAGUGCACUAGGGACCUAAUCCCAGCCUGAAGGAUGUCUAGUAACACCAUCUCAUUUCCCAAGCCAGGCUAAGUGAAACCUGCAUUUUCUGUCAUAGAUGGGCAUCAAAAUGGAUCUUAAAUAUUAGGGCCUCCCUUUCAAUUAAUCAAGUCAUAAUAAAGAAUAGUCAGGUCUCAUGAGUUUCUGUGACAAUCUUUGUUUUUCUUUUUCCCUGGCACCAGAAAUGAUCAUGCACCAUUUAAGUAGACAGACCACAUCAUCUUUACAUGCCUGCUGGAGGCUCCACUCCCAGCAUGAGCUGGGCACCACUUAGACCAUUCACUCCCAGUAUUCUCCCUCUGCUCCCACGGUCUGCUCUGAAGAGAAGGAGCCCUGUUUCUGUGCAUGAUCCUGUUUUUACCAGUGUGAUAAUUAAGAUGGCCACAGGUCACAGAAGAGCUUGAAGAAAUCACAACAGGCUCCUACAGGAGAAAGUCAGGCAGAGAGGGAAAGCAAGCCAGACCAAAGAGGGUAUGGAAGGGUGGGGUGGGUCCUGCCAAACCUGUAUGUGAGAAAAUUGAGUCAAAUGUCUA